GUGGGGAAUAUUGGACAAUGGGCGCAAGCCUGAUCCAGCCAUGCCGCGUGAGUGAUGAAGGCCCUAGGGUUGUAAAGCUCUUUCACCGGAGAAGAUAAUGACGGUAUCCGGAGAAGAAGCCCCGGCUAACUUCGUGCCAGCAGCCGCGGUAAUACGAAGGGGGCUAGCGUUGUUCGGAAUUACUGGGCGUAAAGCGCACGUAGGCGGAUAUUUAAGUCAGGGGUGAAAUCCCGGAGCUCAACUCCGGAACUGCCUUUGAUACUGGGUAUCUCGAGUAUGGAAGAGGUGAGUGGAAUUCCGAGUGUAGAGGUGAAAUUCGUAGAUAUUCGGAGGAACACCAGUGGCGAAGGCGGCUCACUGGUCCAUUACUGACGCUGAGGUGCGAAAGCGUGGGGAGCAAACAGGAUUAGAUACCCCAGUAGUCC
rnacentral:rRNA from 1 species